UACGGAGGGUGCGAGCGUUGUUCGGAGUUACUGGGCGUAAAGGGCGCGUAGGCGGCGCAACAAGUCACCUGUGAAAUCUCCGGGCUUAACCCGGAGCGGCCAAGUGAUACUGUCGUGCUAGAGUGCGGAAGGGGCUACUGGAAUUCUCGGUGUAGCGGUGAAAUGCGUAGAUAUCGAGAGGAACACCUGCGGCGAAGGCGGGUUGCUGGGCUGACACUGACGCUGAGGCGCGAAAGCUAGGGGAGCGAACGGG
rnacentral:rRNA from 1 species